CAUUAAGUGGCUGAAAAGCAAGCAAUGAUCUCUUAAAUCAUAAUAUAAUAUUUAGCAAAUAUUCUUAAUGA
rnacentral:tRNA from 1 species